AGGGGUGAAAGGCCAAUCAAACUGGGAAAUAGCUCGUACUCUCCGAAAUGCAUUUCGGUGCAGCCUGUGAUGUUCUGUUCCAGAGGUAGAGCUACUGGUUGGACGCGAGGGCUUCACCGCCUAUCAAAUCCGGAUAAACUCCGAAUGCUGGAACACGAAAUCAUGGAGUGAGCCCGCGGGUGCUAAGGUCCGCGGACGAGAGGGAAAGAACCCGGACCACCGGCUAAGGUCCCGGAUGGACAGUUAAGUUGAUCAAACGAGGUGGGAUCGCUGAGACAGCUAGGAUGUUGGCUUGGAAGCAGCCAUUCAUUUAAAGAGUGCGUAACAGCUCACUAGUCGAGCGAUCCCGCGUGGAUAAUACACGGGCAUCAAACUGUCAACCGAAGCCGUGGGGUUAGUGAUGAGCUAACCGGUAGGAGAGCAUUCCUGCCAGCUUAGAAGGUCACCCGCGAGAGUGACUGGAGCGGCAUGAAAAGCAAAUGUAGGCAUAAGUAACGAUAAUGGGGGCGAGAACCCCCCACGCCGCAAGACCAAGGAUUCCCCGGCAAUGUCAAUCAGCCGGGGGUCAGCCGGCCUCUAAGGCUCACCCGAAAGGGGAUGCCGACGAGAAACGGGUUAACAUUCCCGUGCUUCUCGUCACCGUGACGCGGUGACGGGGUGAUGAAUGGACCGCGCGCUGACGGAAUAGCGCGUUGAAGGCCGUACCCUUUGACGGUGGUAGUCAAGCACGCCACCGGAGGCGAGAGCCGAUAGUACCACGAGACCCCGGUCGAGUGGAUAGCGUCCAGGCAAUUUACCCCCUAGAAAACCCGCUAAACUUCAAGUGACGAGGAACCGUACUGUAAACGGACACACGUGGUCGGGUAGAACAUACCAAGGCGCUCGAGUGAUUCAUGGUCAAGGAACUAGGCAAAAUAGUCCUGUAACUUAGGGAUAAAGGACGCUCUAGUGAUAGAGCCGCAGAGUAAUGGCCCAGGCGACUGUUUACCAAAAACACAUGGCUAUGCCAAAUCGAAAGAUGACGUAUAUGGCCUGACACCUGCCCGGUGCCGGAAGGUUAAGAGGAGAGCUCAUCGGAAACGAGAAGGUUUGAAUUGAAGCCCCGGUAAACGGCGGCCGUAACUAUAACGGUCCUAAGGUAGCGAAAUUCCUUGUCGGGUAAGUUCCGACCUGCACGAAUGGUGUAACGAUCUGGGCACUGUCUCGACCAUGAGCUCGGUGAAAUUGUAGUUCCGGUGAAGAUGCCGGGUACCCGCGACGGGACGGAAAGACCCCGUGAACCUUUACUGCAGCUUCGCGUUGUUCCCGGGCACGGGACGUGUAGGAUAGGUCGGAGGCUACGAGUCGGUUUCGCCAGGAAUCGAGGAGCCAUCGUUGAAAUACGACCCUUCUCUUGUCUGGGAUCUAACCCAUGGUAAUGGGGACACCGCGUGGUGGGUAGUUUGACUGGGGUGGUCGCCUCCAAAAGCGUAACGGAGGCUUCCAAAGGUACCCUCGGGUUGGUUGGUAAUCAACCUUAGAGUGCAAUGGCACAAGGGUGCUUGACCGGGAGACCAACGAGUCGAUCGGGUGCGAAAGCAGGGCAUAGUGAUCCGGUGAUCCCGCGUGGAAGGGUCAUCGCUCAAAGGAUAAAAGGUACUCCGGGGAUAACAGGCUGAUCGCCGCCAAG
rnacentral:rRNA from 1 species